UGAAGUCCAUGUUUCCCUUAGCUCAGAGACAGCAGGUAUGACCAAUUUCUCAACAUUUAAAGAGCACAGGGCCAUUUCAAUUGCACGUAGAAGCCGGCGGCACAUUCCUUGACGCCUAUACAUGUAGCGGGUCCCAAUGAAUGGCAUCUCUGCUAAAUAAUUCCCAUGAAUCCUAAUUGAUGCGGCAGCAAUUAUUUCAUCCCCCCUCUCUAGGAUUGCA
rnacentral:misc_RNA from 1 species